rnacentral:lncRNA from 1 species
ACAUAUUGAGGUCUAAAGCUUGCCAAGUAGAAUGUUAUAAUUGAAAUAAUAAAUGAUUAUUCAAAAAAAUAACUUUCCGACAUAGAUCUUCAGUAUACCAAGAUCGAGAAUAAAACAAGCAAAACAUGAAGAACUAUUAAGUAAGUACCCUACUAAUUAACUUAUUUUAGCCUAGCUGUUACCUAUUGAUUAAACAGGUUGACUAACGUGUUUCAAUCCAGUUAAAA